CAGACACCACAGCACUGAUGACAUGUACAAGACAGAAGCUUGGAUGUCCAGUAGAGAGAACGACAGAGAAAAACAUCUUCAUCAGCCGGUACUCACCUCCAUGCAACCUUCUCACAACCAUAACUUUCCUUACUCUGUUACCAAGAGUACAGGAAGAGGCUCAGAAACUGCCACUCCAAUACAAAUCCCUGAUCACGCUGGUAGCUCAACCAAUCAGCAGAUGUAUAGAGACACCUGACCAGAACAGUGCAUGUGCAGUAUGACACUCCUUGUAUGAAGUCGUUUUAAUGUUAAAAGUUACAAACAUUCCGACUCAAUGUUAAAAGUUGCAAAUGUUAAAAGUAAUCAUUUCUGUUUAUAUGUUUAAAGUUACAAACUUUCCGUUUCAAAAAGUUUCCAACCCCCACACUCUACCCGUCCUUUACUCCCUAGUUUAACCUAUACCUAAUUUUCCUACUUUCAACCCCUGCCCCAUCUCUCCAUACCCUACCUGCCGACUGGUCCUCGCCCAGCCCAGCCCUACCCUCCUUUCCUCUCAGACCCUACCCCUCACCACUGGGUGUUCCCUGCCUUACCUUAGCCCUUCGUAUCCUCUUCCUCCUGACUACAACACCCUUCCCUCCCUGCCCUCCUCCUACCCCUCUCUUCCCCAGUGGUUGGUUUGGGCUAGGGUUCGGAUGGGGCUGAGCCUUCUCCCAGAAUCACAUAGUUGGGAACUUAGUCAGAGGAGGGCAUGUGACUCAUCCCAGAGCUGCACCCAAACUACGCUCUAUAUGGUCUUCUGUUAAGACUACCACACUUGUGUACACACACAUAUGUGCACAUGCACACACACAAUACACAUGUGCAUGAGUGGUACAGCAUGAACACACACACAUACGGAUACAAAAAUAGAAACGUACAUACAUACACAACCAGUCAUAGUAGUAUGGGAUGUGGGAGAAACGUCUGGGGCUGACACAGUCCAUUCAUAAUUAUUUUAAAUGGACAGCGUGAGUCACAUUGAGGAUAGAGUGACCUGUAUUACCCACACUGCUUUUCUGGCUACUAAAACCUUACACGUUCAUGGAGCUGGAGUCUGUAGCUACGUAAAGACACCGUUAUACCACUACAGAUACUCUCGUGGCUUUCAAAAGACAAUGGCUGACGUAGGAUAUCAAAAUGACUGAAGUAGGAUAUCAAAAUGACUGAAGUAGGAAAUCAAAAUGACUGAAGUAGAAAUCAAAAUGACUGAAGUAGGAAAUCAAAAUGACUGAAGUAGAAAUCAAAAUGACUGAAGUAGCAUAUCAAAAUGACUGAAGUAGGAAAUCAAAAUGACUGAAGUAGAAAUCAAAAUGACUGAAGUAGCAUAUCAAAAUGACUGAAGUAGGAUUUCAAAAUGACUGAAUAGGAAAUCAAAAUGACUGAAGUAGAAAUCAAAAUGACUGAAGUAGGAAAUCAAAAUGACUGAAGUAGAAAUCAAUAUGACUGAAGUAGGAAAUCAAAAUGACUGAAGUAGAAAUCAAAAUGACUGAAGUAGGAAAUCAAAAUGACUGAAGUAGGAAAUCAAAAUGACUGAAGUAGAAAUCAAAAUGACUGAAGUAGGAAAUCAAAAUGACUGAAGUAGGAAAUCAAAAUGACUAAAGUAGAAAUCAAAAUGACUGAAGUAGGAAAUCAAAAUGACUGAAGUAGAAACUCAAAAUGACUGAAGUAGGAAAUCAAAAUGACUGAAGUAGGUAAAUUAGGAAAUGUAAAUGAUGCCAAAAUAUGAAUAUAAUAUACAUUUGAAAUGACGGAUAUUUUGGGGGCCAGUAUAAAAUUAUUGUUAUGACCCAGUUACUACAUAAUGCAUAGUGGUUGGGUGGGGCUCUAGGAAACCCAGUUACUACAGAACGUACAGAGGGUGGGUGGGGGUGUGUGUGUGUAUGAAUCACAGCUUACCAUGUGUCAGCAGCACAGAGAAACUACUGCUCUCUGUAAGUCUCUCAUUGUGUUCAAUAGUGGCUCUCAGCUCUGGUAGCCAGCUAGCGUUAGUGUGGUUUAGCUAGCAUGACUCAGAGCCAUGACUGGCUAAAGGACUCUAGAACUGGGGGACAAACAGCUGGAAUUACCUUUAAUUUGCUAGAAAGUCGUAAUGGGGAGGUAAUGACUGCAAUGGCAGAGAAUCAUAUUCUUCUGAUUUAGAGUAGGAUGAGUAUUACUUCUGUACAAGAGGGUUUUGAAUAAGUUGUGUUACAAUAUUUCAUAGAGUCUUGAUGUUUUACUUAACAUGUGUUUUCUUAGAAGAAAAGUAUGUUUGCUUCAGGUGUGUAAGUAGAUUUUUACUGUAAUAAUUCUAGACAGCUAAAUAAAUUGUUCAAAU
rnacentral:lncRNA from 1 species